rnacentral:rRNA from 1 species
UGUUUCGGCUAGGGGGUCAUCCCGACUUACCAACCCGAUGCAAACUACGAAUACCGAAGAAUGUUAUCACGGGAGACACACGGCGGGUGCUAACGUCCGUCGUGAAGAGGGAAACAACCCAGACCGCCAGCUAAGGUCCCAAAGUCAUGGUUAAGUGGGAAACGAUGUGGGAAGGCACAGACAGCCAGGAUGUUGGCUUAGAAGCAGCCAUCAUUUAAAGAAAGCGUAAUAGCUCACUGGUCGAGUCGGCCUGCGCGGAAGAUGUAACGGGGCUAAACCAUGCACCGAAGCUGCGGCAGCGACACUAUGUGUUGUUGGGUAGGGGAGCGUUCU